ensembl:lncRNA
GCACGCACACACAUACAUACACACACCUGACAGACAAUCUAUGUACACAGUGAAUUUCACAACACCUUUAUAAGUAACAAUUAAUGUAUUAACUACUACUACUAAUAAAAUGAUCCCUGCCCGAACGCACGCGCUAUGCAGUGAAGCCGCUCCCGGUCCCUGUGCAAAUUCCUCGGGAUAUUACGCAGCAUUCCCGCUUUCCGCGCGCAGGAAAGUGGGUAUUCCCCCAAAAGCCGGAUUAUUCCAAUAAGCACAAAGCGCACGCACUGGUACAGAACCGCGCAGGGAAGAAGCAGCUCGAGCUCAGGAGUGUAAAGAGUUCGUGCUCUUACCGAUCUGUGAUCACGAUUGUCUUUACGGAGCAGCGUCCCAGAACAUCCCGAACACACCGAGGAAUGUCAGUCCGCCUCGCCUCGCCUCGCAAUCAGCCGUUCCUUGGCCGGGUGUAACAGGAUGUGUGGAGUUUCACCGUGUCUUCAUGAUGGGGAACGCGAAUGGAAAGUCGGACAGCCAGAGAAGGAGCCUGGAUGGAAUGGAGGGGGAAAUAGACUGGGUUAUUCCUAGCACCGCUUCCCAGAAUAGAAAAAAAAAGAAAGAGAGAGGGAGGGAGUGCGCGCGAGCGCAGGAGAAUAAAAGCGACAGCGUGAAGGCAAGGGCAUCACCAAAGGGAUCACACUGCUAGGUAAAUCAAUGUAAGCAUGGGAACUGGGCUUGGAGACAAUUUUACAGUCGACUGCGCUGUCCCUUCACAGUGCACAAGAAGGAAAUCUGCUUUUUUUUUGACCCUCAGGCCGUGUUUCAGCAGUGUCUAUUAACACAUAAUGCAGAAUGCGGUUGCUGGUGUGUCUGCAUGCAACGUGGAGUCAUUUUCUCCAGGAAACAUUAUGGAUAUUCCCACUGAACUAAACUAUUAAUCAGCAGUUAAAUAGUGAAAGAAAAAAAUGAAGAAAAAAACAAACGCUGACAGAAACGAUAGCUAUUAUCACAUUCCUGAUUGUGCUAUUUUGUUAUGUGAAAGUGUGAUCGGUAUUACACAUAUUUUGAGAGGUGUGACACCCUAUCAUGGGACCUAUGUGUCAUCCUUGGCUUACGUAGAUUAUUAUUUUUAAUUUUUUUAUGUUCACAUGC